GGGUUGUUUUGUGUAUGUAUACUGACAUUUCCUUUGACGGAAAGAUUUGGCUCAGCCCUCUACCUCUUAUACGUCUGCCUUCUGUUCCUGUCAUUUUCCGGUAAUUUUUCACUUCUGCCAACGGCUACAGCGAAGUGUUUUGGACAGAAAUACUACGCCAUCAACUAUGGAUUCGUAUUUACAGCUUCAAUCGUUACAAGUCCAAUAGGGGUUGUUCUUACAUCGAAUCUGCAGAACUCGUUAGGAUGGUAUGGACUAUUUUUUAUGGUUGCAGCGUUUUCGUUCACAAGUGUGCUUAUUUCUAUAUUCUUCAACGAAAAGCGACCGGACGGAACAGAUAUAUGAAGGUGCCGGACAGAUGAGCAUGUGAAGGAAUCAAAAUUGUCUGUCUGAGACACAUAUUUGUGAUAAAAGGUUGUGUCGCCGUCCAGAUAAGAAUUGAUAAAAAAACAUUAUUAUGGAUGAGGUGCCGGAAGUUCUUCCGGUUUAUUCUUUCGUCUCCGUAUUCUGUGAUAACUGAUGUCUUUCUUUCGUUUAAUACAAUAUAUUGUAUCAGUCCUGUUUCCACUAAACAUAGUGUUGUUUUUGUAAAUUUAACUUUACAUUACUUUCAUGAAACAAUGAUGAAAAACUUGCUCAUGACCAAUUUAACAUACAAGCAUGGACAUUAAAUGUCGCAAACUUCAUAUCUUCAGUGUUUAAGGUGCAAUCACAUGUGUCUUACGUGUAUCCUUCAACUCUAAAUUUAAGGAGGUAAAUCUAUUACUUCGAUGCCAACCGUAUACAUCAAUAACAAAAAUCUUACUUAUACAAUGACACUGUCUUACCACAUUUAAGUUAACUACUCAGUUGUCCAUUGUUUGUAGUUUUGCAUUGAAGAUAGUUCGUUGUUUAUAUUGAACAUAUAUAUUUUAAUGUAUUCCCUUGAAUUCGUGUUUUGCUAUUUACGUACAUAUUAAGGUUCUUAAAUUACAUAUACUACCAAACAUACGGCUUUUAUCUGCGUUAAUGUUUUUCAGUAAGUGUUAACUUAUAAAUCAGAGUACUUUGUUUACAUUUCAAAUAUUUAAAUUAUCCAACUUCAAACUAUUGUUCGUACACAUAAAAUAUAAUUUAAAAAAAAAUACGAACGAUCAAAAUUAGUAUCCUACUUCAAGCAUUACAUGUAUCUGUUAAGUAUUACAGGCACUUGAUUUUAGCUUUUAGAAUUGUUUUUUUCUCUAAUGGCAGAACUCAUUUGUGCCUUCGAACCUUAACCAAUAAAUUCAAAGUUUAAGGUAGGUCAUUUUUCUUUUGAUUGACUGACCAUCAUUAAGAAAAUAUUAUCAUAUUUAUAAAUUACUAGCAAAUUGUAAAUUGUUACAGCUAAUUACUACAAAAUAAUGAUUAUAAAUUAAAGCAGACGUUCAAAAAUCCGCUCUUAAACCUUAUCAAAACGCUUGAUACAGAUGAUUAUUAAUAGCAUUUUUGUGUACAAUUAUUUGAAGUUAUGUUAUUAAAUAUUAUGAUAAAACAACAUAAAAAGCUUGC